UUGUGCUCUCUGUAAAGCAAGUUCUAGGUC
rnacentral:piRNA from 1 species